rnacentral:rRNA from 1 species
GGUAUGACUGGUUUUACUGAUUCCUCCCUCUUGAAGAACUGUAAUGCCAUUAAUUUGGUGUUGCAGGGAAUCAGGACUGUUACUUUGAAAAAAUUAGAGUGUUUAAAGCAGGCUUUAGCUUGAAUACAUUAGCAUGGAAUAAUGAAAUAGGACGUUUGAUCCUAUUUUGUUGGUUUCUAGGAUUGACGUAAUGAUUAAUAGGGAUAGUUGGGGGCAUUAGUAUUCAAUUGUCAGAGGUGAAAUUCUUGGAUUUAUUGAAGACUAACUACUGCGAAAGCAUUUGCCAAGGAUGUUUUCAUUAAUCAAGAACGAAAGUUAGGGGAUCGAAGACGAUCAGAUACCGUCGUAGUCUUAACCAUAAACUAUGCCGACUAGGGAUCGGACGCAGUUAAUUUUAUAAUGACGUGUUCGGCACCUUACG